UACGGGGGGGGUAAGCGUUGUUCGGAAUUACUGGGCGUAAAGGGCUCGUAGGCGGCCAACUAAGUCAUACGUGAAAUCCCUCAGCUUAACUGGGGAACUGCGUGUGAUACUGGAUGGCUUGGAUUUGGGAGAGGGAUGCGGAAUUCCAGGUGUAGCGGUGAAAUGCGUAGAUAUCUGGAGGAACACCGGUGGCGAAGGCGGCAUCCUGGACCCAGUACCGACGUUCAGGCACGAAAGCGUGGG
rnacentral:rRNA from 1 species